rnacentral:rRNA from 1 species
UUUGAUGGAUGGCGACCGGUGCACGGGUGAGUAACACGUAUCCAACCUGCCGACAACACUGGGAUAGCCUUUCGAAAGAAAGAUUAAUACCGGAUGGCAUAAUUAUUCCGCAUGGGAUAAUUAUUAAAGAAUUUCGGUUGUCGAUGGGGAUGCGUUCCAUUAGGCAGUUGGCGGGGUAACGGCCCACCAAACCUACGAUGGAUAGGGGUUCUGAGAGGAAGGUCCCCCACAUUGGAACUGAGACACGGUCCAAACUCCUACGGGAGGCAGCAGUGAGGAAUAUUGGUCAAUGGACGAGAGUCUGAACCAGCCAAGUAGCGUGAAGGAUGACUGCCCUAUGGGUUGUAAACUUCUUUUAUACGGGAAUAAAGUGAGCCACGUGUGGCUUUUUGUAUGUACCGUAUGAAUAAGGAUCGGCUAACUCCGUGCCAGCAGCCGCGGUAAUACGGAGGAUCCGAGCGUUAUCCGGAUUUAUUGGGUUUAAAGGGAGCGUAGGCGGGUUGUUAAGUCAGUUGUGAAAGUUUGCGGCUCAACCGUAAAAUUGCAGUUGAUACUGGCGACCUUGAGUGCAACAGAGGUAGGCGGAAUUCGUGGUGUAGCGGUGAAAUGCUUAGAUAUCACGAAGAACUCCGA